rnacentral:misc_RNA from 1 species
GAGACAAGCAUAUGACUACUGGCAGGAUCAACCAGGUAGCGUUCCUUCGAUACGCCGACGCCCGUAUGAGCCCCAUGAGCUCAAAGACAGGCGCAACCGUCGCUCGAGACAUUGAACAAAAUGCAUUGCUUGAUUAGAUGGAGCCCUCAAGGCUCCGCCCAACCACAGCGAAUAACAUUCCGCAUCCGAGAGCACGGGCAAAGAACCUUAUGGGCCGAGGCCGCCACGCAGCUGGGCGAGGCAUGCCAGGAACACGAGGCUUGCCUGACGUCCACCCCACCACCCGUAAGGGCAUGGGGCGGAGAGAAACACACGAACCAUCGAAUUCCUUCGGUUAGGUAAGCAACACAGGAUACCGAA